AGAACAGCACCCGGAAAGAGGGGGAAUGAAUGCCUCAGCUCCCAGCCUUGAUGUGUUCUGCGGGAACUACAGGGCCUCCAUCGCACACUGCAGGACUGGACCAAAGUUUCCCUCGACCUGAUGUAAGACAAUGAUGCUACUGAGAUACAUGACAACAUGCACCUGCUUCUGAGGAGCUCAUAAUGCAGCCUGCAGCACAGAGUGUGUGGAAAACCUUUCUUCUGCAGUAUGACAUUAUCCAAGUUUAUUACAGAGGCAUCCUCUCAUGAAUGUUAUGGAAAGUAUAACUAGAGAU
rnacentral:lncRNA from 1 species